AUGGAGAAGAGAAAGAUGGAGAUCGAUGAUGGAGAGCUGUGGGGAGAUGAUGUUGAUGAUGUGCGAAGGAGAGAGGCGUGUGAGAAAGCAAACCUAGCGAUACAGAAUUUAGGGUUUCUUUACGUUUUAAACCUAAUUUUUUUACCCGACCCCGCCCAGUUUGCGAAAAUAGGAAAAGUGGCCAGUUCGGGCCGCUCCAGGACCCGAUUUUGCGGCCGCUCAAGCCGCUUCUUCAUUUCGCGCUUUACCGGUACCACCGGAAGCAGCCUGGCCAGAAAUUCCGCAUCACGCCGCUAUAGCGGCCGCUCCAGCUGCUUUUAA